AAAGGGUGCGUAGGCGGCCUGUUAAGUCAGGGGUGAAAGACGGUAGCUCAACUAUCGCAGUGCCCUUGAUGCUGAUGGGCUUGAAUGGACUAGAGGUAGGCGGAAUGAGACAAGUAGCGGUGAAAUGCAUAGAUAUGUCUCAGAACACCGAUUGCGAAGGCAGCUUACUAUGGUCUUAUUGACGCUGAGGCACGAAAGCGUGGGGAUCAAACAGGAUUAGAUACCCGAGU
rnacentral:rRNA from 1 species